rnacentral:rRNA from 1 species
UACAGAGGUCUCAAGCGUUGUUCGGAUUCAUUGGGCGUAAAGGGUGCGUAGGCGGCGCGGUAAGUCGGACGUGAAAUCCCUCGGCUUAACCGGGGAACUGCGUCCGAUACUGGAUGGCUUGAGAUUGGGAGAGGGAUGCGGAAUUCCAGGUGUAGCGGUGAAAUGCGUAGAUAUCUGGAGGAACACCGGUGGCGAAGGCGGCAUCCUGGACCAACACUGACGCUGAUGAGCGAAAGCCAGGGGAGCAAACGGG